GACGAACGCUGGCGGCGUGCCUAAUACAUGCAAGUAGAACGCUGAAGAGAGGAGCUUGCUCUUCUUGGAAGAGUUGCGAACGGGUGAGUAACGCGUAGGUAACCUGCCUUGUAGCGGGGGAUAACUAUUGGAAACGAUAGCUAAUACCGCAUAACAAUGGGUGACCCAUGUCAUUCAUUUGAAAGGGGCAACUGCUCCACUACAAGAUGGACCUGCGUUGUAUUAGCUAGUAGGUGAGGUAACGGCUCACCUAGGCGACGAUACAUAGCCGACCUGAGAGGGUGAUCGGCCACACUGGGACUGAGACACGGCCCAGACUCCUACGGGAGGCAGCAGUAGGGAAUCUUCGGCAAUGGGGGCAACCCUGACCGAGCAACGCCGCGUGAGUGAAGAAGGUUUUCGGAUCGUAAAGCUCUGUUGUAAGUCAAGAACGAGUGUGAGAGUGGAAAGUUCACACUGUGACGGUAGCUUACCAGAAAGGGACGGCUAACUACGUGCCAGCAGCCGCGGUAAUACGUAGGUCCCGAGCGUUGUCCGGAUUUAUUGGGCGUAAAGCGAGCGCAGGCGGUUUGAUAAGUCUGAAGUUAAAGGCUGUGGCUCAACCAUAGUUCGCUUUGGAAACUGUCAAACUUGAGUGCAGAAGGGGAGAGUGGAAUUCCAUGUGUAGCGGUGAAAUGCGUAGAUAUAUGGAGGAACACCGGUGGCGAAAGCGGCUCUCUGGUCUGUAACUGACGCUGAGGCUCGAAAGCGUGGGGAGCGAAUAGG
rnacentral:rRNA from 1 species